CCGGGCAGCGUCGUGCGAGGUGCGGCAUGAGCCUUCUUGCUAGGAGCGGCGGCCUGGGGCCGCUGUGCGCGGCUGCUCGCGCGGUUCUUCCCUGUCUCUGGAGAGGGAAAUACUUCAGCUCCGGGGGAGAGCCGGCACAAAACCAGGUGACACCAAUGCUGCGGCACCUUAUAUACAAAAUCAAGGCAACUGGUCCCAUCACUGUAGCCGAGUACAUGAAGGAGGUCUUGACCAACCCUGCCAAGGGAUAUUAUGUGUACCGUGACAUGCUAGGAGAAAAAGGAGAUUUCAUUACUUCACCGGAAAUAAGUCAGAUCUUUGGGGAGCUGCUAGGUAUAUGGUUCAUCAGUGAAUGGAUGGCCACUGGAAAAAAUGCAGCUUUCCAGCUUGUGGAAUUGGGCCCAGGAAGGGGUACCCUCACAGGAGAUAUUUUGAGGGUGUUCAGUCAGCUUGGAUCUGUGCUGAAAAACUGUGACAUUUCAAUACAUCUGGUAGAGGUGAGCGAAAAAUUGAGUGAGAUUCAAGCAUUAACACUGACGGAAGAGAAGAUCCCGCUAGAGCGGAAUGCUGGGUCCCCCGUAUGUAUGAGAGGUGUUACUAAAUCUGGGAUUCCAAUCUCGUGGUACCGAGAUCUGCAGGAUGUUCCAAAAGGGUACAGCUUUUAUCUGGCACAUGAAUUUUUUGACGUUCUUCCUGUGCAUAAGUUUCAGAAAACACCCCAAGGAUGGCGAGAAGUACUCAUUGAUAUCGACCCACAAGUUUCUGAUAAGCUGCGGUUUGUUUUGGCGCCUGGUGUCACGCCAGCAGAAGUCUUCAUACAACGUGAUGAAAUGAGGGAUCACGUGGAAGUGUGUCCUGAGGCCGGUGUUAUCAUUCAGGAGCUUUCUCAGCGCAUCGCACUAGCCGGAGGUGCGGCACUGAUCGCCGACUAUGGUCAUGAGGGCACGAAGACAGACACCUUCAGAGGGUUUUGUGGCCACAAGCUUCAUGACGUCCUGACUGCCCCUGGAACGGCGGACCUCACAGCCGAUGUGGACUUCAGUUAUCUGCGCAGAAUGGCAGGGGGACAAGUAGCUUCUCUCGGGCCAAUAAAACAACAGAUGUUUUUAAAAAAUAUGGGCAUUGAUGUCCGGCUGAAGGUUCUUUUAGACAAAUCAGAUGAGCCAGCCAGGCAGCAGUUACUUCAUGGGUAUGAUAUGUUAAUGAAUCCUCAGAAGAUGGGAGAAAGAUUUAAUUUUUUUGCCUUGCUGCCUCAUCAGAGACUUCACGGGAGAAGCCAUCCGAUGGAUGCGUGCCAGUCGAAGCCCUCGGUGUCACCCGUAGCUGGGUUUGGUGAACUUACCUGGCGGUGAUCUCAGUGUGGUCAUUUUACCCCUAAGUCUGCCUAAGAAAGCAAAAUAAAGGGACAUGUUUCAUAUAUCACAGGUCAUGGUCUCGGGGGUUGUGGGAUCUCCAGUCCCACGUCAGGCUCCAUACGCAGCGUGGAGUUUGCUUGGGAGUCUCCCUCUCCCUCUCUCAAAAUAAAUGACAACCUACAAACAACAGUUGUGCAGUAAAACAUCAGUACAUAAAAUGAAAUCCUUCCUUAUUGAAGUUAGCUCAUUGAUAAUUAAGGAUCUUCUUCCAUAUCAUCUGGAUUGGGAGCCAUAAUGAAGUGCUUUGGGUAUACAAGAUUGUGGGUGUAUGCAUGUAUUUCCCAGCGGGCAUCGUCACUUUCAUGUGUAAUGUAACGUUCACCGAUGCGAGUUUCAAAUUCUCUAAGGUCAAGCCAAGUCUGAUAGUCCUAGAAAAAAAAAGAGGUGAUUAUAAAGUAUAAAAGUAACAAAAUACUGUGAAUUUUUUUUCUUAGCGCCCUAGUCACAAAAUUGACAACCUAAACCCAAUACCAAAAGUACUUGCUAUACUGUAAGUUCCAUUUGUAAUAUUUAAAUUAGCAAUGUUAAAUACUUUUUCAAAUUUAGAAUCUCUAAUGACGUAGCCAGUUUCUACAACUAAAAAAAAAAAAAAAUUGCCGGAGGCUUCUGAGAUGGCUAAUAAUAAUCACUAAAACAUCCUGUUCUAUACUCUGACCGUACACCCACACGUUACUCCUCAAACUAGGGGAAAGUACUUAGAAUCUCCUACCAGGGUAAUUUAAUAAUCAUGGAGACUGACUAAGACUGCAUUUGUUUUGAAGUUAAUGCUACUCCCUACUCCCUUUAAAACAGUUCUAAAGCUUCUCUUUACUUUGAAAUUUGGGGGUAUCUUUUGACAGAUCUAUGCAACAGCUUUUGGGGGGGACUUCAGCCAAACAUUUUAAAUGGCAUUUCUGAUCUCAUCAAUGCAAAUAUGAAUCUUUUAGUGGAUAAUUUUAAAGUAAAAUAUAUUUGACAAAAUAAUAUGCUUAUCUUACAAAAAGGUGGUAUGAAACAUAAGGUUCUAUAAAAAGGCUAAAUCACUGCUUUUCAGUUCACGGGAGUUUAACUGUCUAGAAGUUCUGCAUUUCAGUGGCUUACUGCAGAACCUCCACAGAUGCAGCCACAGGACAAAUUAAUCACUAAAGAACACUUAACAGUAUUCUAAGACAAGGAGAAUCUGUUGAUCUUAGAGUGGUUUCAGUAGGUAAGACAAAGUACAAUGAAUGGCCUGAAUGAGGAUCACCAGAGAGACGACUUUUUUUUGUCUUUUUACCUGCAGCCAGGGAUGACUAAGAGAUUUGUCCACACUGUAACGUUUUCUCAUCUUCACUUGAAGUAGGUUGUUGAUCAAAUCAAUUGCUAAGAGAAAAGACAAAAUCAGACACGUAAAUUUGGGUAUAUGGAGCAAACCAAACCUGUAAGUCUUAGAAGGCAGUAGUUCAAUCCACAGAAAUACAGGGUCGAGGGUUUUGCUUCUUAAGGCUGCAGUCUUAACAGCGACCCUGCGCAGCGACCCUGUUAUGAUCCGUAAAUAUUCGCUGCACUUAGUACACGUUCACAUGCACACUGAAUGUGUGCAGAGUACACAUUCAGUGUGGCAGAGGGUCGGUUAAUGCCUGCUGCCGUUACUCUGUUUCGUCGUCUACAAAAUGAGGUUGUUGUAAAGAUGAAAUAACACAUGUAAAGAGCUUAGAAUUGUGCCUAGCACGUAAGUGCUAGUUAUGGCUAUUAUUAUUUCAAAAUGAAUUAAAAAAACUGAUCAAAGACCGACUCGCUGUUUCCCCCAAAGACACCAUUCCCUAGCCCCUGGCUUGGUCUGCUAAGGAGCCAAAGCCACUGGCUUCCUCUACACAUAGGGCCAGACUAACAGGGUAACUUAUUACCACAAGUUCACACUCAAACAGGCGUGGUGUUUGGUGUGCAUAAUAACAGUAAGUAUGCUGGCAUACUUAUCUCAUCCAGUUAUUUGAAGAAAUGAAGCAACUGCAAAACCAUAACCUCCGUGUGACUGCGUCCUGACUACAGUGCAGCGUGACAGUACGUUUGAAAUACAGAUACAAAAGCCUGGACCCAGGGAUGAGCCAAAUGAAAGGUUCACAUCAUACCCACUCUGUUUCUCCUCUGCAUACCACAGGUAUUUUAAUUAUGAACUCUCGGUUCCAAAUACUUCAAACUUUUACCCGGUGUUGCUUAAGUGGACGUCCACCAUGUGCAACAGAAUCAUUUGGGGUCUUUAUUAAAAUGCAUUCCUAGUGUCACGCCAGCUGGUGAAGUGGAAGCUCUGGGAUAUAGCCAGGGGGUUUGGGUUUAGUCCACUUACCACCUGAUGGUGCUGACAGAAGAGGUCUCAGACCACACUGCCCGAGGAACUCUAAGAGAAACCCUCAUAUAUACUUCAGUUAGCUGUUCAUUACCAAGUAAGCCUGCUACUGUUCUUACAGGUUGUUCCUCAAACUUCCCCUGUUUAAUGGGCUGUUAAUCCCUAUGAUUAGGUCUGGUACUUCUGGAAAACAAAGAAUACCCUUGUUCCAAAGGUUGGCAAAAUCCAGGUGGGCUAUUUCCCCAGCAGGAUUCCCUUCAAUAUGCGGCUGCUAAAUAACUUGCGUGCUCUGCCCGACAGUAUCAAAAAGUAAGAGGGACAGCCCGGGCAUUCUUCAUGCGUACAGAACCCCAGCUUGCAAGCUCAAAAACCGGUAAUGGGCAGGGAAAAUAAAUGUAUCCUGCUUCCUAGGACUGGACCCUGGGAGGGCUGCAAAUAAACUGGAAAAUGUCUAUAAAGUUCAUUCUAGAUAUAAAGAACCUGAAAGGUCUCCAUUCAAGGAGCUUACAAUCUAGUUCUGAAAAUAAGUAAUUAUGAAAAGAAAGAAUAAGGAAAAAUAUCUCCGCCUAGUAGCCUGAGUUGAUCUUACUUACCAAGUUUAGAGGAGGGGCUCAGGGAAGAUUUCAUAGAUGUGCCACAGUCCUCAAGGACUAGAACGAUUUCAGUAACAAGGAAGAGGGACUGUAGGCAGGGGAAAGGUCUAAGCAAAAUGCAGAAAGUAGGUGGGAAGAGAAAACAACUAGGUUUUUUGGCGGGGAGCAGGGAGGGGAGGACAGCAGGUAGCCUCGGGCUCUCAGGGAGACCCACAGAGUUGCAA